rnacentral:rRNA from 1 species
UACAGAGGUCCCAAGCGUUGUUCGGAUUCAUUGGGCGUAAAGGGUGUGUAGGUGGCGCCGUAAGUCGGGUGUGAAAUCUCGGGGCUUAACUCCGAAACUGCAUUCGAUACUGCGGUGCUUGAGGACUGGAGAGGAGACUGGAAUUCAUGGUGUAGCAGUGAAAUGCGUAGAGAUCAUGAGGAAGACCAGUGGCGAAGGCGGGUCUCUGGACAGUUCCUGACACUGAGACACGAAGGCCAGGGGAGCGAACAGG